rnacentral:rRNA from 1 species
AUUGAACGCUGGCGGCAGGCCUAACACAUGCAAGUCGAACGAGUGGCGGACGGGUGAGUAAUCUCUGGGAAACUGCCUGAUGGAGGGGGCUAACUACUGGAAACGGUGGCUAAUACCGCAUACCAUCAGAUGGGCCCAUAUGGGAUUAGCUAGUUGGGGGGGUAAAGGCUAACAAAGGCGACGAUCCCUAGCUGGUCUGAGAGGAUGACCAGCCACACUGGAACUGAGACACGGGCCAGACUCCUACGGGAGGCAGCAGUGGGGAAUAUUGCACAAUGGGCGAAAGCCUGAUGCAGCCAUGCCGCGUGUAUGAAGAAGGCCUUCGGGUUGUAAAGUACUUUCAGCGGGGAGGCGUUACCCGCAGAAGAAGCACCGGCUAACUACGUGCCAGCCGCCGCGGUAAUAC